UGUUAACUGCCCGUUGGAAUGAAGCAACAGCGAAUCGGUAGUCGCUCUCGCGUAGUGUUUGGUGAUUUCAGAUUCCACGUGGUCUUUUGACGUCUUGACGUCUUGUGUGUCUUGUUCAAUCUCAAUGUCUGCAAAGGAUCGAAGAAAGAAAACCCGUACAGCCACUCUUGCCAACUACCAAGUGGACUCCAAUUUGGGCGACAAUAACGGUAAAGUGUAAAGGACAACCAAACUCGAUCUGUUUUCAGAUCCAAAUCAUGGAAAUGGAGGAACGUGAACUGCGACGAAAUCGCUUACGGUACUGUUACUGUCGUUAAUGGAGCCCCAUGAAGAAGUUUUAUGACGCAAGAGUCGUCGAAGUUCCUCGCUUGUGCAGUUCAGGGGCAGUCAAGAGACAACUUGAAUGAGAUACCAAGGAAGUCUCUGAAGUAGUCGAGACAAACAGAAGAAGAAGAAGAACAGUGCAGCUGUUAAAGCCCGGAGAGAGGCAUGUGUCUAAAAAUGCUUCCUUCCUCAAAGCUGCAGCUGACUUUGUGUGCAAUGAUGAUUUGGAAGACUCUGAACCUUUAUGUAAUAGUGGCCAGGUAGUCAUGAUAUACUUAUUACAGCAUCAGCAUGGUGCAUA